rnacentral:lncRNA from 1 species
AAGUGCUGCUAGCUAAAAUUACCGACACUUUUAAAAAGUAUUGCUAUAUGUGGGGUCGCUAGGUAUAUAGUGACAGUUAAAGAGUGUCGCUAUAAUUUAAAAUAAUGCUGCUAAUUUAUCAACACUUAUUUAAGCAUUUAGCAACCGCCGAAACUCUAUCUCGUUGACUGCGGUGGCGGAGGAGGACGACAGGAAAGGCUCUUCAUCUAGAAUUUUAGUGGAUUGAGUGAAGAGAGAAGAAAAGAUGAUAAUUGAUUUUUCUUUUUUUUUUCUUUUCUGUUUGUAAUUGGGCCAAGUGGACUGGGUGUGGUGGGUUGAAUAGAGUAAUCUUUUAUUUUUGGUUGGAUUGAGCUUUAUAUUUAGGCAUUAGUAGAUAUUUUUUUAAGUUUUAGGAUAAAUGAGACACUUACUCAAAAGUGUCCCAAACAUAUGUCCCUAUAACCUAAUUCUGUUGUAGUGAACCGCCCAUUAUUCUUUUUUAUUUCAUUUAUUCCAACCAAACACUAUUUUGCUUAUAACUGAACUAAAACCAAUACUCAAACAAAUACAAAAUUACUCUAUACCCAUCUUAUACCUCAUCUUAAUUAUAUCUAUAUCUGAAACAACUAAUUCUUAUUUACACCUGAACUAAACGAAACCUAAAUAAUUAUUUUAGAUUUAGUUCAACUCGGCUUAUCUGUUAACAUUUAAAGCAUUGUCCAUUGAUAAAAUUAUGGUGUAAAAUUUAUGUUUUAUUUUUGAAUAUAUAAAUAAUAUUUGUUUAUUGUUUUAUUUUCAUGAAAUUUGUAGACAUGACAUGUUGGA